rnacentral:rRNA from 1 species
AGCCACAGCCACAUCACCCUGCAACCCAAGACCAGUUACUUACUGAAGCUAAACAAGGCUGAGCCUGGUCAGUACCUGGAUGGGAGACCACAUGGGAAAAUUAGGUUGCUGUUGGAA